rnacentral:rRNA from 1 species
GACGAACGCUGGCGGCGUGCUUAACACAUGCAAGUCGAGCGGUAAGGCCCUUUCGGGGUACACGAGCGGCGAACGGGUGAGUAACACGUGGGUGACCUGCCCUCAGCUCUGGGAUAAGCCUGGGAAACCGGGUCUAAUACUGGAUAUGACUCCAUGACGCAUGUUGUGGGGUGGAAAGCCUUGUGCGGCUGAGGAUGGGCCCGCGGCCUAUCAGCUUGUUGGUGGGGUGANGGCCUACCAAGGCGACGACGGGUAGCCGGCCUGAGAGGGCGACCGGCCACACUGGGACUGAGACACGGCCCAGACUCCUACGGGAGGCAGCAGUGGGGAAUCUUGCGCAAUGGGCGAAAGCCUGACGCAGCGACGCCGCGUGAGGGAUGACGGCCU